UUAAGUCCGCAACGAGCGCAACCCUUAUCAUUAGUUGCUACGCAAGGGCACUCUAAUGGAGACUGCCGGUGACAAACCGGAGGAAGGUGGGGAUGACGUCAAGUCCUCAUGGCCCUUAUGGGUAGGGCUUCACACGUCAUACAAUGGUCGGUACAGAGGGUUGCCAAGCCGCGAGGUGGAGCCAAUCCCAGAAAGCCGAUCGUAGUCCGGAUUGUUCUCUGCAACUCGAGAGCAUGAAGUCGGAAUCGCUAGUAAUCGCGGAUCAGCAUGUCGCGGUGAAUACGUUCCCGGGUCUU
rnacentral:rRNA from 1 species